rnacentral:rRNA from 1 species
UGAAUACGAGACGCUAAGGCGUCGAAGUAGUGUAUGUCAUACUUCCAAGAAAAGCUUGCACUGUCAUAGAUAAAAAACGCCUGUACCAUAACCGACACAGGUGGGUAGGUAGAGUAUACUAAGGGGCGCGAGAUAACUCUCUCUAAGGAACUCGGCAAAAUAACUCCGUAACUUCGGGAGAAGGAGUGCCUUAUUCGUAAGGUUGCAAUAACAAGAUCCAAGCAACUGUUUAUCAAAAACACAGGUCUCCGCUAAGUCGUAAGACGAUGUAUGGGGGCUGACGCCUGCCCAGUGCCAGAAGGUUAAAGAAGUUGGUUAGCAAUUGCGAAGCUGAUAACUGAAGCCCUGGUGAACGGCGGCCGUAACAAUAACGGUCCUAAGGUAGCGAAAUUCCUUGUCGGGUAAGUUCCGACCCGCACGAAAGGCGUAAUGAUUUGGAUACUGUCUCGGAGAGGGGCUCGGUGAAAUAGACUUGUCUGUGAAGAUGCGGACUACCUGCACCAGGACAGAAAGACCCUAUGAAGCUUUACUGUAACUUGAAAUUGGACUUUAUUCGCGCAGUAUAGGUGGGAGGCGUUGAUUAUAAUCUUGUGGGAUUAUUGGAGCCAUCAGUGAGAUACCACUCUUGUAAUGUUAGAUUUCUAACUUUGAAUCAUUAUCUGGUCAAAGAACAGUUUCAGGCGGGCAGUUUGACUGGGGCGGUCGCCUCCUAAACGGUAACGGAGGCGUACAAAGGUUUCCUCUGAACGGUUAGAAAUCGUAUCUAGAGUGUAAAGGCAUAAGGAAGCUUGACUGUGAGACCUACAAGUCGAGCAGGGACGAAAGUCGGUCUUAGUGAUCUGACGGUACUGAGUGGAAAGGCCGUCACUCAACGGAUAAAAGUUACUCUAGGAUAACAGGCUGAUCUCCCCCAAGAGUUCACAUCGACGGGGAGGUUUGGCACCUCGAUGUCGGCUCAUCGCAUCCUGGGGCGGUAGUACGUCCCAAGGGUUGGGCUGUUCGCCCAUGAAAGCGGUACGCGAGCUGGGUUCAGAACGUCGUGAGACAGUUCGGUCCAUAUCCGGUGUAGGCGUUAGAAUAUUGAGAGGAGCCUUCUUUAGUACGAGAGGACCGAGAAGGACAUACCUCUGGUGUACCAGUUAUCGUGCCAACGGUAAACGCUGGGUAGCUAUGUAUGGAGUGGAUAACCGCUGAAAGCAUCUAAGUGGGAAGCCCACCUCAAGAUAAGUAUUCUC